UAGCGUUUGCAAAUAUAUUGGUAAAUAAAUACAUAACGAAUAUAAAUUGAUUGAUUUUAAGCCAUUUGAUCCUGGUCUUUAAAUCAAAUAGCACCACCCACUAUUUUUGGCAAAUUCCAUAUCCCUCAUCGGAAUUCGAGAGUUUUGGAGGAAACUCUUAGAAGGGUAUGGGAGACUCAUCAUUACCAAGCCCACCUCACAAUGAUAUGAUGUUGGCUCCAUUGCACUUAGUUAAGUCAUUCCCACCAUGCAAGUUUGAGUAGGGGUUCAAGAACAACCUCACAAUGAUAUGAUGUUGUUCAUUCUCGUUGCCUACCUUCACAACAUCAUGUAUGCAUAUAGAACUCCUCUUGAAUGUAAGCCUGCACUUUGUACUCCCCCAUGAUAGGGUGAAGUCGGUGUACGAGUCACAAACGAUCGGAGCCUACCACGGUGGAAGGCCACGAAAGAGUGUUCAAAGCACUCUCACGCUUAUCAACUUAAUAAUGGUUUGGUUAAGGGUUUUAGGUCUCAUCACAUAUAAGCAUGCAUUUUAAUCUUAUUAAAACAAUUUGGUCCUAUUACAACUAUUGGUCCAUAUGAUUGAUUUAGUUGUAUAUAAUACUCUCACUAUGCUUGUUGAUAGGAGCAUAUUUAUGCGACUUAAUUGGCUUGUUCUCGUGCAUUUACGUUGUGUUUCCUUAGUUAUUUUAGUGUUUAAAGUCACUUUUGUGUGUUUUCAGAUUCUAAGGGCAAAGGAUGCAAUUUGGUGCCUUUUGGACAAAAUUGGGCUUGGAAUGAUUAUCACAAGCUUGGAGCAAAAGGAAUGGACGUAAUUGAAGAUUUGAAGAAGUUUGGAUUCCUAACCAACGAAGGAUUCCUAAUUGAAGAUGGAUUCCUACUCACAUGAGGAUUCCUAGAAGAACAAGGAUUCCUACUCCAACAAGGAUUCCUACUUGAAGUAGGAAAGUUAAGCUAAGGUUUCCUAUUUUGGUUUGACCUUUCCUAAAUCUAAAAGUCCUUAUGUUCCAGCCACUUUGAAGGCCUCCUAAGUAUUCUAGGACAUCAAGCACAUAUUUCUUCCAUGGUCUAAGUCAAUGCCGCACCUCACAUGACCUUUCCACAAUCCCCUCUUCCUUGCCGUGCAAGGGAACCCUUUCCCUUCAGUUUUAGGACAUUUAAACCUUUCCCUAAACCUUUCCUAUAUCACAGCCGCACCCCCUUAACCUUUCCUCUGCCUUGCCGUGCAAGGGAGAGGGUUAUUUCCUAUUUCCUUGCAUUAAAACACAUUCCUAUUGUGUUUUGUUCCCUUGCCGCAUAUCUUAGCCAAUUUUCCUUAGUUUUCUUAUUUGAUUUCCUAUUUCUAGAAGCUUGUGACUUAAUUUCUAAUUACCUAAAUAACCUAGGGUUGUAUUUCCUGAAAUCCUAUAAAUAAACUUCCUUGUUGCAGCCACAAAGCAUCCAUUCAAUCACCCAUUCACGCUAGAAAUCAUCCACCACUCCUAGACGCAUCCAUACUUCACCAUUCUCCAUAGUUUUUGACCUUAAACACUUCUAGCCGCACCAUACUACCAUCCGAAACACCAUUCCAUACUUUUACACCAUCCAUAACCCCCAAAACUGACCACCAACCCUUGUGCCGCAGCAAAGAGGAAGGAGGAAAGCCCUUGGACGUGCUUGUCAUUCGAUUGAGGAUUGCUGGAACGUUUUAGGUGUAAUCUUUCUUUUAUUUUCAAUGUUUCAAUUCAAUAAUCUUUGUUUUGUGAGUAUGAGGAACUAAACCCUUUUAGUUAGGGGAUGAUUCGAAACCAUGUUCAUGCUUGCAAUAUGAUUUGAUUACAUCCAGUUGUGUUUUAUAAGUGUGAAUUCAAUUUACUUAUCCGUUCAUAUAAAAACUGAUUUGUGUAUGUUGGUUGAGAGUGCAUGCUUAAUUUUCAUGCAUGAAUUUGAUGCUAGAAUAUAAGGGAGUUUCACCUAAUCGUUACGAACUUAUAUUCCCAAGUAGUGAAGGUUGCUAGUCACAAUCGCUUUAAGUAAAUUCUUGGCAUAAGUUUCAUGCAAUUCAUAGUUACGAAUGCUUCGUCAAUGCUUAUGAUUUUCAUAGAACUUAAUGAUUCUUACUUGUAUCUCUAUUUAUGCAAUUCAUGUAGGGAACUUGUGGGGAAUGCUUUGGGUUGUCGUAUGCAAUCAUCCAAUUCAAUAACUUGUGGAAAAUCUGAGGGUUAAUUAGUGCAAUUCACGGUUAAUCUGGGGCGUUGAGAAUUCAUAGCUUAUUGAAAAGCAACUGGAAAUCGUUUUGUAUGCAAGUGUGUCAUGUGUGGAGAAGAACCUCCUAACUAUCCUUUUAUCCAUAGUUUCAUCCAAAUUCGUUUUAAAACUCUGUUUUAGUUACAAUCUGUUUUCUUUGUUUUCAAAUUUGUCAAAACCAAAUCCCCCAUUAUUUUAAAGUGUUAGAUUAGUUAGAAAUCAAUUUAGUUUGUGUUUUUAAGUGUUUUGAUUCAAGUUAUAACCCAAUUUCGUCCAAGUUUGUGUUAGAGUUCAAAACUCCCCCACACUUAGCUUUUGCUAGUCCUCGAGCAAAGCAAAGAAACAAAAGAAAAACAAAACGAAACAAAACAAACGAAACACAACCUAAACCUUCCAACGAUCGCCUCAGGGAUUUCCAAUGAACAUGACAUAUUAAAAAUCAUCAUUCCCACCGAUUUUAGCCAUCUUUACACUUAAGCACAUACUUAAUUAUAGUCACCAAGUACCAGUUCGCAUUUAACCAAUUAAAACAUGAUUUUGAAUAUAGUAACAUGCCUUAGAGAAUUUGCUCAAUUCCUCACUAGAUAUGCACUCAAUUUUCACUCAGAUUUUCUGACUACACACCCUAUACUAGUUAUAUGUGAGAAGAUUGAUGUAAAUAUGAAAACGAAUGCUCACAUAUGUUAUAACAAGGAAAGCUUUUUUGAAUUUAAUAAGCAUGUAUAUGAUCUCAUGAAAGGAAUGCGACUACUUAGACGCGAGAACCAAUGACACCAUAUGCUCAUACCAAUCCCAAACUCCACAAUUUGAAAUACACAACACUCAAGAUAUAAGUUAAGGGUUGUAACAGGGCUAAGGGUAUUGGCUAACAAAGGAAGGUGAAGGAUAAACAAACGUUCUUAAAACAAUAGUAAGCAAAGCAAUGAAAUUGACACUUAGAAUUCACUUUUGAAUGCAAAAAUCAACUUUUAACUCAAAGGGGAAAUUCAUGCAACACUUAGGGUCAAAUUCAAUGUUUUGGACCCUUUCUUCAACAACCAACACCUUAGAGCUCAUUUUUCAUGCUCUUUCAACUCUUUUCCACACUUUUCACAACAUUUUUCUUUUUUUCUUCUUUUUUCUACGAAUUUUUUUUUCUUUUUCUUUUCUACCCCAUGCCUCAUUUAAGACUUUGGCACACAAUACACAAGGCUCACUUUCCCCCACACUUGUUUUUUGCACACCCUCGAUCAAAAGGAAUUCAUUUUAAGUCAUGCUUACUAUGCUUCAAGAACAAGGGUAUGGAUGGUCCUAAUCUAGCCUAGGUAAGGAUAAUGUGGGUUAACAAACAAUAUAGGCUAAAUAAGGUUCAACGGGGUUAAACCUACAAAAACAAAUGUAUGGAAUGAAGGCUUUUUGGAUAUGGUGGCAACUACUAAACAACUUCUUCUUGAAUAUGUGUUAUGCAAUUCAAUAACAUGUUUUGAAUGAAAUUGGCAUGAGUUCUAGCAUUUGGAACUAAAUGAUGAAACGCCUUCUAAGUAGUAACCAAGCAAAGAAUAAUGAGAUCAUGCAACGACUUUAGAAAACAAGAAUGCACAGAUUUUAACUCUCCAAAUAAAGUUUAGGCUCAAGUCUCUCAGGGUUGUAGCGUUAGUUUGAGUUUCUUCCAUCAAGCAUGUUACAAAAACUCAUUUUUUUUUUCUUUAUGAUUGCAUGUGAAUUCAUAAGUUAUAACUACAACUAAGCAUAAACCUAGAGUAAAUCAAACUUCCAUCCAUGUUUAUAACUCUCUUCAAUAGUCAUGCAAUUAAAAACCGAAUCCUCAUCAUUGUGUUGGAAGGUACCCUAAGACACAAACAAACACACAAAAACAACUUAAAAACGACUCUUUCUGGGUUUUUUAAAACAAAUUUUCAAAUUUUUAUGGGAUUUUCGGAUUUUUGAAUCAAAACACAUUAAAACACACCAAAACAGCCUAAAAACACCUAAAAACAGCAAGCAACAACAUUGGGAAGUAUGAGUGAGAAAACCCUACGAAUUUGCAUCAAAACACUUUGGUUACCCCCCCACACUUAAAUCAAACAUUGUCCUCAAUGUUUCAAAGCAUAAACUAACACAAAAACACAUAAACAAACAAACAAACUCUAAACAAACUAAACAUGGC
rnacentral:lncRNA from 1 species